UACGGAGGGUGCAAGCGUUGUCCGGAUUUAUUGGGUUUAAAGGGUGCGUAGGCGGCCGAUUAAGUCUGGGGUGAAAGCCCGUUGCUCAACAACGGAACUGCCCUGGAAACUGGUUGGCUUGAGUACAGACGAGGGCGGCGGAAUGGAUGGUGUAGCGGUGAAAUGCAUAGAUACCAUCCAGAACCCCGAUUGCGAAGGCAGCUUACUAGGCUGUAACUGACGCUGAGGCACGAAAGUGUGGGGAUCAAACAGG
rnacentral:rRNA from 1 species